GAUCCUGGCUCAGGAUGAACGCUAGCUACAGGCUUAACACAUGCAAGUCGGAGGGGCAGCAUGACGAUAGCUUGCUAUUGUUGAUGGCGACCGGCGCACGGGUGAGUAACGCGUAUCCAACCUUCCCGUUGCUAGGGGAUAACCUUGCGAAAGUAAGACUAAUACCCUAUGAAGUUCUUCGCAGGCAUCUAAAGAGAACGAAAGAUUUAUCGGCAACGGAUGGGGAUGCGUCUGAUUUAGG
rnacentral:rRNA from 1 species